GCCGAGCGCGUGUUGUUUUGGUCCAUUUUAAUGAAAUUGUGACGCAGCUAUGCUACUUUUGCGACAGAUUUGUCGCUUGUUUUUAAAUAAAGAUAUUUUAAAUGGAGAAUGUGACACCGGUUUGUGACCUUGACACGGAACCUUUCAAUGAAUCGUUUCCUCCGGUGUUUUCUGCCWGCCUGAAUGUUUCGCUUUCACUCUCUGACAAACACAGUGUGCAGGAGACGAAACGGUGAGAGGAUUUUCCUUCAGUCUUUCCCACCAUGUUCCCCCUCCUGUUGGUGCUUUCUGUUCUCUGUCCUCCCUCACCUGGAGCUCAGAUCCCAAGCCAGGCUCAAGCCAAGGACCCCCCCAUCGCCACCAAUGGUCAGCCUUUUCCCUGGCACCGAAUGAGGCUUCCCCAAACUGCCAGCCCCCUGCACUACGACCUGACCCUCCACCCGAACCUCACYACCCUGGACUUCACCGGUGUUGUUCGGAUCAGCCUGGACGUGCACGAAGACACCCACACGGUGAUUCUCCACGCCAAGCAGAUGCAGGUUUCCAAUGUGCUGCUCCUGGCUCCUGAUGGCGCCAGGCCCCUGAAGGUGUUGGAGUAUCCUCCUUUCCAUCAGCUGGCCCUGCUGUCGGACUCCGUGCUGACCAAAGGCAGGAAGUAUGAGGUCCAGCUGGAGUUUGCUGCAAACUUGUCCGACAGCUUUCAUGGUUUUUACAAAAGCAGCUAUCGCACCAGCAGCGGGGAGGUCCGGGUUCUGGCAUCUACGCAGUUUGAGGCAACGUUUGCUCGUGGAGCCUUCCCCUGUUUUGACGAGCCCGCCUUUAAAGCCAACUUCACCAUACGGAUUACACGAGAGCCACGCCACAUCGCCAUUUCCAACAUGCCCAAGGUUAAAACAGUGGAUCUGCCCGACGGUUUACUCGAGGAUCACUUUGACACGACCGUAAAAAUGAGCACUUACCUGGUGGCCUACAUCGUGUCAGACUUCCUGUCUGUGAGCAGGACCACGCAGCACGGAGUUGAGAUCUCCAUUUAUUCAGUGCCUGAGAAGAUCAACCAGACGGCCUUUGCUUUGGAUGCUGCAGUCAAGUUGUUGGACUUCUAUGAUGAUUAUUUUGAUAUCCCUUACCCGCUUCCCAAACAGGACCUGGCAGCCAUCCCCGACUUCCAGUCUGGUGCGAUGGAGAACUGGGGUCUGACCACCUACAGAGAGACCGCCCUCCUCUUUGACCCCGACAAGUCCUCUGCCUCCGACAAACUGGCCAUCACUAAGGUCAUCGCUCACGAGCUCGCUCACCAGUGGUUUGGAAACCUGGUGACGAUGGAGUGGUGGAACGACUUGUGGCUCAACGAGGGUUUUGCCAAGUUUAUGGAGUUUAUUUCCCUUGACCUGACGUACCCUGAGCUGCAUGUGGAUGACUUCUUCUUGGGCAAAUGUUUCGAGGCUAUGGAGGUCGAUUCUCUCAGCUCAUCCCACCCGGUCUCCACCCCGGUGGAAAACCCCACACAGAUCCAGGAGAUGUUCGACGACGUGUCAUACGACAAGGGAGCGUGCAUCCUGAACAUGCUUCGGGACUUCCUCACUCCUGAGGCCUUUGAGAUCGGCAUCAUCCGAUACCUGAAGCGCUACAGCUACCAGAACACAGUGAACAGCCACCUGUGGGAGAGCCUGACUGAUAUCUGCAGCUCUGAUGAUUUGGAUGAAGGUCGAAUGAAACACGUGGAAUUUUGCUCCAAACGUAAACUUCAGUCUGGAACCACUAAGUGGUACUCUGGUGAUGAGCUGGACGUCAAGACCAUCAUGGACACCUGGACGCUGCAGGAGGGCUUCCCGCUGGUCACUGUGGAGGUCAGAGGUCGGGAGGUCAGGCUCAGUCAGGAGCGUUUCCUGAGGGCCGAMGACCCCUCCCUUACUGAAGGAUUCCUGUGGCAGAUCCCACUGACAUACCAGACCAGUGCAUCCAACACCGUCCACCGUUUCCUCCUCAAAACAAAAACUGAUGUCCUGUACCUGCCAGAGGAGGUGGACUGGCUGAAGUUUAAUGUAAACAUGAGUGGUUACUACAUGGUGCACUAUGCAGGCCAGGGCUGGGAUUCUAUCAUUAAACUGCUGCAUCACAACCACACGGCUCUGUCUGGUAAUGACAGAGCCAGCCUCAUCCAGAACGUCUUCCAGCUGGUCGGUGUUGGGAAGGUGAGGUUGGAUACGGCCCUGGAGCUGUCCCUCUACCUGUCCAGAGAGACUGAGAUCAUGGCUGUGACUCAGGGCUUCGGAGAACUCGUUCCUCUUUACAAGCUGAUGGAGAAGAGAGACAUGCCUGAGCUGGAGAACCGAAUGAAAGGUUACAUCGUGGAUCUGUUCCGGGAUCUGAUCGAUCAGCAGGAGUGGAGCGACUCUGGUUCCGUGUCUCAGCGGGUGUUGAGGAGUUACCUGCUGCUGUUCGCCUGCAUCAGAAACUACCCUCCCUGUUUGAAGAAAGCCACUCAGCUGUUUAACCAGUGGAAAGAUUCUGACGGCACCAUGAGCCUCCCUGUGGAUAUCACAAUGGCUGUGUUUGUGAUCGGAGCCCRCACACCAGAAGGAUGGGACUUCCUGUUUGAGAAGUACCGCAGCUCAAUGCAGAUGUCCGUCAAGAGCCGCAUGAAGAYAGCCAUGACCGUCACCCCGCUGCAGGACAAGCUGAUGUGGAUAAUGGAGCAGAGUCUUAACGGUGAAGUGAUGAAGACUCAGGACCUCCCUGACGUGGUCGUGUCUGUAGCCAAGAACCCUCGUGGCUACAAACUGGCCUGGGACUUCCUCCGAGCCAACUGGGUCACCAUGAUCAAGAAGUUUGACCUCGGCUCCAACAUUGUGUCCUACAUGGUGACUGGUGUGACCAACCAGUACUCCACCAGAGAGAUGCUGAAUGAGAUUCGGAGCUUCUUCGAUGCUCUGACUGAAGAGACCGGCUCAAAGAUGAGGUGCAUCCAGCAGACCUACGAAACCAUCGAGGAUAACAUCCGCUGGAUGGACAGCCACCUUCCUCUGYUGGAGGCUUGGCUGAACAAACGCAGACACAGAACGACUCACGAGGACUUAUAGCCCCUCCAGAAGGAAACUCUCGMCCCACUUCAGUCAGAUUCUUUCUGUUGUUUGUGGCUGAAUUUCGAUUCAUCAGGUGCUCCGUCCAUCCAUCAAAUGAUGUUAACUACCUCCUUCCCUUUUCUAGAGGUCUUCCUGGGCUUCCUGGGCUUCGGUCUGGCCAUCGUGUUCUGCACCAGCUUGCUCAGAGCGUGCGGUCGAAGACAAGAGGAGCAGAUCCAGAGGCAGGCACAGCAGCGCCGGGAACAGGAGCGUCACCUCAGGUCCAUUUAUUUCAUCCCCUUCCCCAGGAGCCUUUCACAGCAGGACAGUGAAGACCCCCCAACACCGCCACGCUACAGUACUUCUGGCUACUUGGAGUCCCCGCCUUCCUAUAAUGAGCUGGGAUUCAAGCCAGACGAGCUCCCGCCUGCUUACACAGAAUAUAACCUCCCUGAUUAUUCAGCAACACUUCCACCGGCUCACACAGACGUGGUACCAUCCCAGGUCCAGUCUCUGCCCUAAGGAUAUAGACAGUCGUGCACCRCCUCACUAAGUGAGGCCGUAUCUGGGAUGUAAAAGAUUUCAACGUUUAAUAGUUUUUUUUUGUGUGUGAUCUUGUUUUUUAUUGUUAUAUUUCAGUUCAGUUUUAUGUGAAUUCUGUUUAUUUAUGCAGCAUCUGUUUAAAACAAAUGUCAUGUCAAAACGCAGUUAUUUUCCCAUCCAUUGAUUUCAGUUUUAUAAAUAUAUUAGAAAAGCCUUUAAAGAAAAAAAUGCAUUAAUUUGCAGUGGGUUCUUAGUGCCAUCAAACUGGAAUUGUUUGGAUUUGUUUGCUUCAUUUUAAUACAGUGUUCACAUUAUGACAAAAGCCUGGUUUUGUUUUGUUUUGUUUUUC